rnacentral:rRNA from 1 species
AUUAGAUACCCUGGUAGUCCACGCCCUAAACGAUGUCAACUAGGUGUUGGGGGAGGAGACUUCCUUAGUACCGUAGCUAACGCGUUAAGCAUCCCGCCUGUGGAGUACGGUCGCAAGACUAAAACAUAAAGGAAUUGACGGGGACCCGCACAAGCGGUGGAGCGUGUUGUUUAAUUCGAUGGUAAGCGAAGAACCUUACCCAGACUUGACAUCCUUGGAAGCACUGCGAAAGCAGAGUGUGCCUCCGGGAACCAAGUGACAGGUGUUGCAUGGCCGUCGUCAGCUCGUGUCGUGAGAUGUUUGGUUAAGUCCAUCAACGAGCGCAACCCUUGUGGCUAGUUGAAUUUUUCUAGUCAGACUGCCCUGGUAACAGGGAGGAAGGAGGGGAUGAUGUCAGGUCAGUAUUACCCUUACGUCUGGGGCUACAAACACGCUACAAUGGCCGGUACAAAGGGCUGCCAAGUCGCGAGACGGAGCAAAUCCCAUCAAAACCGGUCCCAGUUCGGAUUGCAGGCUGAAACUCGCCUGCAUGAAGUCGGAAUCGCUAGUAACGGUAGGUCAGCACACUACCGUGAAUACGUUCCCGGGUCUUGUACACACCGCCCGUCAAACCAUGAAAGUCGCCAAUACCUGACGUCUUAGCUAGUCUAGGCCUAAGGUAGGGGAGAUGAUUGGGGUUAAGUCGUAACAAGGUAAC